AUUGAACGCUGGCGGCAGGCCUAACACAUGCAAGUCGAGCGGAUGAAGGGAGCUUGCUCCUGGAUUCAGCGGCGGACGGGUGAGUAAUGCCUAGGAAUCUGCCUGGUAGUGGGGGAUAACGUCCGGAAACGGGCGCUAAUACCGCAUACGUCCUGAGGGAGAAAGUGGGGGAUCUUCGGACCUCACGCUAUCAGAUGAGCCUAGGUCGGAUUAGCUAGUUGGUGGGGUAAAGGCCUACCAAGGCGACGAUCCGUAACUGGUCUGAGAGGAUGAUCAGUCACACUGGAACUGAGACACGGUCCAGACUCCUACGGGAGGCAGCAGUGGGGAAUAUUGGACAAUGGGCGAAAGCCUGAUCCAGCCAUGCCGCGUGUGUGAAGAAGGUCUUCGGAUUGUAAAGCACUUUAAGUUGGGAGGAAGGGCAGUAAGUUAAUACCUUGCUGUCUUGACGUUACCAACAGAAUAAGCACCGGCUAACUUCGUA
rnacentral:rRNA from 1 species